UCAGUCAGACAUUUACUCAAACCUAAUCCUAUGAUUUGUUAGUGUUGAACUCUUCAUGUGUUAAAAUGAAAAUGAGCAUCACUUGCUAACAGUCAGUUAGCUCGCUAUUAUCUGCUGUGGUAACGUUAGCUAGACUAGCGAGUCUCCUCUUUCAGGUGAGUGUUUGCUCUCACAAAAUAACAAGACAACAGGUUGUUUUUUAGAGAAACACCAUUUUUAACUUGUGGAACGGUGUCGAAUUUCUAUUCAGUUUUUAAUAAACUGGUGCUGGUGCGUUAGCAGGGUAAAAACUGCGAUUUGGUAACUAGAUGCUAACUAAUUAAGUGACCUGAAAUUCUGUAUUAGACUAAAUAUUUGUCUCUCUUCUGUUCAUGUUUCUGCUUUGAGGUUCAACCAAAUAUCAUUAUAUAUAGGCUUAUAUCAUAAAGGUCAUGAAGGGGAGGGUGGAGGGCAGGGGGUACUUAACUGAGCGCAGAGUGCAUUUGGGAAGUGUCCAUAAAAAUUGAGUCCUGUGUGGCUGCAGACAUCAGAGUUAACUGUUCAUAUCUGUAGCAAAGUCUCCUUAGCAGAAAAUCUUCGUCCACAUUUACAUAUUUUCUAUAAUAACUUUUCCUUCUGAGAGUUAUAUAUAGUUUAAAAAGAAGAACUCAAGCACAAAUGUUGACUGAAAACAUCUACACAAGUAAUAUUUAAGAGUUUUUCUGCUUUUACUCAAGAUCGUAACACUUGUCUUACACAGCAAUUAAAAAGUUGUGCACUUUGUCCAUCUGCUCCUCACUGACCAUCUAAAGCCAGUGGUGUCAAAUUUAACCACUGAAAGGGCCAUAUUAAAAAAUCCCAGCAAAUCUGUGGGCCAGCUGUGGUUUUAUUUCAUUUUUACUUAACAUUUUGCCAAAACUGCAACAGCAAAAUAGGCAUUGAAUACUUAAUAAAAUUAAUGCUAAAUUAAAAUACAUUUUAAUUGGUUUAGGGACCGCCUGUUUGCUUAAACUAGACACCAGGCACCUUUUCUUUUUGUGUAACCAGUGGCCCAUAGAUUGUUGUUGGGGGAAGAGGGUCAGAAUGCACACAACGUUGCAGUGCAUGCUGGGCACUGUAGUGCAUCUCAGGGUGAAACAAUGGAAAAUUAAAAUAUUUUCGGGGGCCGAAUAGGACUGUGUCGCAGACCAGACUGGCCCGUGGGCCCAGAAGAGGUCAGGAACAAAAAGUGUUUCUAUUUUUGAGGUAUGGAACAUCGUCUUUACUGGGUUUGAGAAGCUUGAAUGCUUGUACAGGUUUAGUUAGUCAACAGAAAUCUGCCUGUAUCUGUUUCAGUUGUUGAAGUUAGAAUGUUCUCUCUUCCUACAAAUAUCCAUCUGGUUCUCGACUGAUCAGGACUUACAGCUUGUCCCAGGUGCUUCACUUACAGUGUUGUUUAUAGUAUUGCUCUUCAUAUUAUUAGUACAUAUUUCAUUCUGUAUUGUACUACAUAUUGUAGCAUGAAAUGUUGCCAAUAUUAUAGAUUUUCAGAUGUAUUUCAAGCUGGAGCUCAUAUGCCUUGCUUUUUUCUUUACUUUGCAAAACGGUUGCAUAAAAGUAAGAUCUUUCAAGGUAGUGUGCUGUUGUGAAAAACAGUACAUGGUUAUUGUGGUACAUGGUUAUUACAGUGACAUGCUCCUUCUUAUGUUCUAUCGCAUUUACCUUUUCUUUUUCUUGUUGUUGAUUUGUAUAUUUAGUUUUCAUACUGUCUUAUUUUUUUGGAUUAUUCUCACCUUUGUUUUGUCUGGUGAGUGUUAAUUACUAAUUUUGCUCACUUUUUCUUCAUUUUUGAUGCAGCCGUGAAGAAUCCACCUUUACAAGCUGCAGGCAACAAAGAAAUUGACCAGAGACCUCCACACCUGUUAAGGGACGAGUGUAUUUAGCACAGUGAGGUGGGCUUCAGAUGUUCAUUCUCGUGCUGUCUCUCUCUCCCACACAUACGUAAACAUUCACUGGCCAUUUUUAAGGUACUCCUAACUUACAGACUGCAGUAUGUUUCUCUGCAUACCUUUUAGCCCCCUUUCAUCCUGUUCCUCAGUGGUCAGAACCCCCACAGGACCACCACAGAGCAUGUAUUAUUAGGGUGGUGUAUUGGACACAGCAGUGAUGCUGAAUUUUUUAAACACUGUGUCCACUCACUUUCCACUCUAUUAGACACUCCUACCUUGUUGGUCCACAUUGUAGAUGUAAAGUCAGAGUCAAUAGCUCAUCUGCAGUGCUGAGAAUGAAAUAAUAAUAGUACCUACUCUGUGGUGGUCCUGGUGGUCGUAGUUGGGGUCCUGAUCAUUGAUGAAUGAAGUGAAAGGGUUAACGAAAUUAUGCAGAGAAACAGAUCAACUACAAUCUGUGCACCUACACAUUAAAUGGACCUGAUUAAAUGGAAAAUGAGCAUAGAUACAAGGUAACUGUACAUAAUUAAGUGGCCAGUGAGCUUCUACAUAUAAUCAAGUACAACGGUGUUUUCAUUAAUUAUGUAAUUGUUAUUCUACUCAUUUUGUCUGAAUUGUAAAUUUUGUAUAUGUUGUCCAGACAGUUAGAUCAAUUACUUCAAAAAGCUUUCUGGUCUAAUCAGUUCAUGUCCACAUACCUGUGAACACAGGUGAGCUUUAAGAAUGGUUAACAAGACUCAAUACAGUACAUAUUGUAUACACAUAAUGUAUGAUAUUAUUUUCUGUGUUAGAUUGAUUGAUUGCUCUUCUGUGUUGUACUGUCUCUUCUGUUUUGUUGCACAUUGCCAGUUUUACUGUAGAGUUUGACACUGUGUUUCUCUCUGAAGUGGGAUCAGUGACUCAGGGAUGAGCUGGAGCUCUUGAUGUACUACACUGGGAUCACAGCUGUCAGUCCUGCUGAAAAUGGAUCAUUAAUAACUGAUAAUCAGUCUGAGAGAAAGGUGAGGCUGAAGGAGAUCAUCAGGAGGAAUUCCAAACACGCUGCUCUGGUCUUACUGUCGUGACCUGUCCCUCAGGGCUGCUUCCUCGGCUCUGUCUACAUGGCUUGACUGGACACACUGAGCUGUGGACUGCACUGCCCCGUCCUGCUGAUUAGAGGAAACCAGCAGAAUGUCCUCACAUUCUACUGCCAGAAACUCACUCAUCCACAAUCACUUAGCACUUAUCAAGGAAUUUAUGUAGAAAAAAUCUAAGAAAUUUGAAUACAUUUGUUGUUUUGUGUACAAAUUCUAAUAUAUAACACAGUGAACAACAUGAUCAGCUGAGGUAUCAUGAAGAGAGACAGUGGUUUAGGAACAGCACUUCACUGAUUACUUUGUAAAUUAUCAUUUAAAUGAAACUCAUGUUCAACUUUUGUAGCAUUCAGUUUGACAUCAGUCCAUCCUGCCUGACAUUUCUAGAUAUUUCUGCAGACUUUGAUUUGCUGUAUAUUAGACUAGGAGAACUAAACUUAAUUAUAAAUGUACAUUUUAAUGAGGUAACAAGUUGGUUCCCUGGACAGAGAUCAAA